rnacentral:tRNA from 1 species
GGAGGGUAAGCGAAUGGCUAGCGGCCACACUGGAAAUGUGGUGCCCCGUAAGGGGUUGCGGGUUCGAAUCCCGUGCCCUCCGCUA